UGCGCAGCUGCCCUUGGAAACAGACAUAGAAGUUACUGUUAAUGGUGGGCCAAUGACGCUUCGUGUUCAUAGAAAUGAUGACGUUUCUCCUAACGCCCCCGUCUAUAUGAUGCGAAAUGGGCUGAUUCAGAAAAUAAACCUCCCAACAACAAGAAAGAUGGCAUUCUAUCAGGAUCCUGAAAAUGGGGCCCAUUUCCAGCUUGAAUGUUUGACACAUGGAGCUGCGAACGUCACGUGUCAGCAUGUAGUGAGAGGAAACUUUCAAAAGGACAAUCAGACGUAUUUUCUGGAACCAGCAAUUGACGUUCAGUUAAUGUCUGAUCUGAAGGAAUCAGAUGUUGCCAAGCAUUUUGUUUAUGUCGUUCAUGAAAAUAACGAU